rnacentral:rRNA from 1 species
CGACUGCUAAUACCGCAUACGAUCUAACCUUGGCAUCGAGGAUGGAUGAAAGGUGGCCUCUAUUUAUAAGCUACCACUGAAGGAGGGGAUUGCGUCUGAUUAGCUAGUUGGAGGGGUAACGGCCCACCAAGGCUAUGAUCAGUAGCCGGUCUGAGAGGAUGAACGGCCACAUUGGGACUGAGACACGGCCCAG